rnacentral:rRNA from 1 species
GGGUUGUGAGGUUAAGCGACUAAGCGUACACGGUGGAUGCCCUGGCAGUCAGAGGCGAUGAAGGACGUGCUAAUCUGCGAUAAGCGCCGGUAAGGUGAUAUGAACCGUUAUAACCGGCGAUUUCCGAAUGGGGAAACCCAGUGUGACUCGUCACACUAUCAUUAACUGAAUCCAUAGGUUAAUGAGGCGAACCGGGGGAACUGAAACAUCUAAGUACCCCGAGGAAAAGAAAUCAACCGAGAUUCCCCCAGUAGCGGCGAGCGAACGGGGAGGAGCCCAGAGCCUGAAUCAGCAUGUGUGUUAGUGGAAGCGUCUGGAAAGGCGCGCGAUACAGGGUGACAGCCCCGUACACAAAAGCGCAUGUGCUGUGAGCUCGAUGAGUAGGGCGGGACACGUGGUAUCCUGUCUGAAUAUGGGGGGACCAUCCUCCAAGGCUAAAUACUCCUGACUGACCGAUAGUGAACCAGUACCGUGAGGGAAAGGCGAAAAGAACCCCGGCGAGGGGAGUGAAAAAGAACCUGAAACCGUGUACGUACAAGCAGUGGGAGCCCCACCACCAAAGCAUUCUCUGGUGUUGAAGGCCCUGCAAAGCAGCAUCGCGGUGGCGGAGCGUCGUUUGCGACGCCCAACACACAAAACAAGCGGUGAGUGCUUUGGGGUGGGGUGACUGCGUACCUUUUGUAUAAUGGGUCAGCGACUUAUAUUCUGUAGCAAGGUUAACCGAAUAGGGGAGCCGGAGGGAAACCGAGUCUUAAUUGGGCGUUAAGUUGCAGGGUAUAGACCCGAAACCCGGUGAUCUAGCCAUGGGCAGGUUGAAGGUUGGGUAACACUAACUGGAGGACCGAACCGACUAAUGUUGAAAAAUUAGCGGAUGACCUGUGGCUGGGGGUGAAAGGCCAAUCAAACCGGGAGAUAGCUGGUUCUCCCCGAAAGCUAUUUAGGUAGCGCCUCGUGAAUUCAUCUCCGGGGGUAGAGCACUGUUUCGGCUAGGGGGCCAUCCCGGCUUACCAACCCGAUGCAAACUGCGAAUACCGGAGAAUGUUAUCACGGGAGACACACGGCGGGUGCUAACGUCCGUCGUGAAGAGGGAAACAACCCAGACCGCCAGCUAAGGUCC